rnacentral:rRNA from 1 species
GGUCCGAACCCACUUCAGUUGAAAAUGGAGGGGAUGAGUUGUGGAUAGGGGUGAAAGGCCAAUCAAACACCGUGAUAGCUGGUUCUCCCCGAAAUGCAUUUAGGUGCAGCGUUGCGUGGUUCUUGUUGGAGGUAGAGCACUGGAUGGUCUAGGGGGCUUAUCGGCUUACCGAAAUCAGCCAAACUCCGAAUGCUGGCAAGUGUAGCGUGGCAGUGAGACGGCGGGGGAUAAGCUUCGUCGUCGAGAGGGAAACAGCCCAGAUCAUCAGCUAAGGCCCCUAAGUGGUGACUCAGUGGGAAAGGAUGUGGAGUUGCGUAGACAACCAGGAGGUUGGCUUGGAAGCAGCCAUCCUUGAAAGAGUGCGUAAUAGCUCACUGGUCAAGUGAUUCCGCGCCGAUAAUGUAGCGGGGCUUAAGUUAUCCGCCGAAGCUGUGGCAACCUGUGUGGUUGGGUAGGGGAGCGUCGUGUCAGUGGUGAAGCUGCCGGGUGACUGUGUGGUGGAGUUGAUGCGAGUGAGAAUGCAGGCAUGAGUAGCGUGUGACGGGUGGGAAUCCCGUCCGCCGAUUAUCCAAGGGUUCCAGGGUCAAGUUUGUCUGCCCUGGGUGAGUCGGGUCCUAAGGCGAGGCCGACAGGCGUAGUCGAUGGGUAACCAGUUGAUAUUCUGGUACCGGCUUGUCACCGUCCGUGUCGAGGUGUGUGAUGCUAAGCAUGUGAGCUUGUCUUGGGAGUGUUUUUGAUGCUUCUGGGGUGGGUGAGUGUGUGAACCGAUCAUGUAGUAGGCAAGCUGCGGAGGGACGCAGUGAGGUAGCUCAUCCCCGGUGAUGGUUGUCCGGGGCUAAGUGUGUGGACUGUCUGGUAGGUAAAUCCGCUGGGCGUGAAGGUUGAGGCAUGAUGGGGAGCCCAUGGUUGUGGGUGAGUGAGUGAUCCUGUACUGUCGAGAAAAGCUUCGUGAGCGAGGUGGCGGGUCCGCCCGUACCCUAAACCGACACUGGUGGAUAGGUAGAGUAUACCGAGGCGAUCGAGUGAAUCGUGGUGAAGGAACUCGGCAAAAUGCCCCCGUAACUUUGGGAUAAGGGGGACCUGAGCUGUCGUGCACCCGUGCGGUGUGGUGGCGGUGAGGGGCGCAGAGUCCAGGGGGAAACGACUGUUUACCAAAAACACAGGUCCGUGCGAAGUCGUAAGACGAUGUAUACGGACUGACUCCUGCCCGGUGCUGGAAGGUUAAGGGGAACUGUGAGUGUAUGCGUAGCGGUGAACUUAAGCCCCAGUAAACGGCGGUGGU